rnacentral:rRNA from 1 species
UACGGGGGGGGCAAGCGUUGUUCGGAAUUACUGGGCGUAAAGGGCUCGUAGGCGGCCAACUAAGUCAGACGUGAAAUCCCUCGGCUUAACCGGGGAACUGCGUCUGAUACUGGAUGGCUUGAGAUUGGGAGAGGGAUGCGGAAUUCCAGGUGUAGCGGUGAAAUGCGUAGAUAUCUGGAGCAACACCGGUGGCGAAGGCGGCAUCCUGGACCGGCAUUGACGCUGAGGCGCGAAAGCCAGGGGAGCAAACGGG